rnacentral:tRNA from 1 species
GUUAAAAACCGCAGAAAGGAUUAUGUUUUGAAAGCAUAAUAAAGGGGUUUAAAUCCUCUAUUUAACU